AGCCACGUGGUCUAGCGGUUAGAACGCUGGCCUUGUAAUCCUGGGGUCUCGGGUUCGAUUCCCGGCGGUGCCC
rnacentral:tRNA from 1 species